UGGCGGCUGCUUUACACAUGCAAGUCUGAACUGUAACAGGGAGCUUGCUCCGCUGACGAGUGGCGAACGGGUGAGUAAUAUAUCGGAACGUACCCAAGAGUGGGGGAUAACGUAGCGAAAGUUACGCUAAUACCGCAUACGAUCCAAGGAUGAAAGCAGGGGACCGCAAGGCCUUGUGCUCCUGGAGCGGCCGAUAUCUGAUUAGCUAGUUGGUAGGGUAAAGGCCUACCAAGGCAUCGAUCAGUAGCUGGUCUGAGAGGACGACCAGCCACACUGGAACUGAGACACGGUCCAGACUCCUACGGGAGGCAGCAGUGGGGAAUUUUGGACAAUGGGCGCAAGCCUGAUCCAGCAAUGCCGCGUGAGUGAAGAAGGCCUUCGGGUUGUAAAGCUCUUUUGUCAGGGAAGAAACGGGUGCGGCUAAUAUCUGCAUCUAAUGACGGUACCUGAAGAAUAAGCACCGGCUAACUACGUGCCAGCAGCCGCGGUAAUACGUAGGGUGCAAGCGUUAAUCGGAAUUACUGGGCGUAAAGCGUGCGCAGGCGGUUUUGUAAGUCUGUUGUGAAAUCCCCGGGCUUAACCUGGGAAUGGCAAUGGAGACUGCAAGGCUAGAGUUUGGCAGAGGGGGGUAGAAUUCCACGUGUAGCAGUGAAAUGCGUAGAGAUGUGGAGGAACACCGAUGGCGAAGGCAGCCCCCUGGGUCAAGACUGACGCUCAUGCACGAAAGCGUGGGGAGCAAACAGGAUUAGAUACCCUGGUAGUCCACGCCCUAAACGAUGUCUACUAGUUGUCGGGUCUUAAUUGACUUGGUAACGCAGCUAACGCGUGAAGUAGACCGCCUGGGGAGUACGGUCGCAAGAUUAAAACUCAAAGGAAUUGACGGGGACCCGCACAAGCGGUGGAUGAUGUGGAUUAAUUCGAUGCAACGCGAAAAACCUUACCUACCCUUGACAUGUACGGA
rnacentral:rRNA from 1 species